CAAGAGCAAAGGAAGUGGCUAAGUAUGAAGACAGCUGCCUCAAAAGGCAGAGAAGCACAGUGGGGCUGCCACCGGCUGUGGGACACGCAGGUCCCUCCUUCCCACCCCUCAGGAUCCAGCUGUCUCCUCCAGUACGUUCUCUACCCGGGAUUGAGCGAGCCUGUCCUCUCUGCUUAGAGAGUUUUCUUACAGAAAAACAGGCUGGGCUAGCACCAAGCAGGCAGACCCAUCUGUACUCUGACAGUGAGAAGUUGCAAAGGCACAGGAAGCGACCUAUGACUGUGCUUACUGGCAGCCCACAGCCCUGCAGAACUCCCAGCAGCCAGCACACUGCUUGGCUGCGCUCCCCCUGGGGCAGGGGCUGCAGCCCUCCCCUGCUGCUGCCCUGCUGCCUGUCUGGGCAGCUCACCUGGGGCAGGAUGUGACAAACAGCACCGGGCUGUGCGGCUGCUGUGGGCAACCCGCCUGCAAGGGGGAGAAGGCAAAGGAAGCAGCACGCUGGCAAGAGACACGGUCCGGUUUAACCCCAGCUGUCUGCUGGGGGCUGCUGUUGUGGAAAUGGCUGCAAAUGCUUCCUGAUCCUAUCGGCAGGUAGAGCAGCCUCAUUGGGAAUCACAGAAAGAAGUGAUUUCCACUGCUCGGAUCUGCUUUGGGACCUCUCGAGGGUGCGACUGAGGCUGUCCACGCAGGGAAGCCCGAAGGAGAGCAGCGACCAUGUGGCUGCUGACAGCUCUCAUGCUGGCAGUUGGUUUCUCCUGUGGCUCUGCACAAGCCCUGCAGCAAAGUCCAGCGGCCGUCACCAAGCCUGAAAGCAAAACGGCGCUCAUCACCUGCCGCAUCUCCAUCUCCAACUUUGACAAAGUCUUCAUUCACUGGUACCGCAAGAGGCCUGGGGCAGCUCCCAAGCGCAUUGCCUACAUGGCGACCAGGCUGUUCCUUGAGAAGGAGUCGGAUGAGGGGAAAUUCAGCAUCGAGAAGGACCUCGCCAAAUCCCAGUGCACCCUGACAGUGGGCAGACUCACUGCGCAAGACGCUGCUACCUACUACUGUGCCAGAUGGGAUGCACAGCAGCAGAGAGCCAUAGGGAACCUGCACAAAGACACGCUCUGCUUCUUGAGCCACGGCCUAGAAUGCCAGAAGACUUGUGGGAAUGGCCUCUCCUUCCCUCUGCAUCUUUAUUCUAGGCAAAUCCUAUGUGGGCUCUAAAACGUUUGCGUUUCUUGCACCGUUU